AAGCAACGCUCUGUGGCAGAUGAUCAGAUCUGUCUGACACAAUCUAAGCUUGAUGAAACAAGAAAGUCUAACCUAUUCCGGUGUUCUUUGCUCCACCAGACAAGCUGUUAUACAGACUUAAACAAU
ensembl:snoRNA